rnacentral:tRNA from 1 species
GCCACUGUAGCUCAACGGCAGAGCAGCGGUUUUGUAAACCGCAGGUUGGGAGUUCGAAUCUCCCCGGUGGCU